AUGCAGUCGAGCGGUAACAGGGGUAGCUUGCUACCCGCUGACGAGCGGCGGACGGGUGAGUAAUGCAUAGGAAUCUGCCCGAUAGUGGGGGAUAACCUGGGGAAACCCAGGCUAAUACCGCAUACGUCCUACGGGAGAAAGGGGGCUCCGGCUCCCGCUAUUGGAUGAGCCUAUGUCGGAUUAGCUAGUUGGUGAGGUAAUGGCUCACCAAGGCAACGAUCCGUAGCUGGUCUGAGAGGAUGAUCAGCCACAUCGGGACUGAGACACGGCCCGAACUCCUACGGGAGGCAGCAGUGGGGAAUAUUGGACAAUGGGCGAAAGCCUGAUCCAGCCAUGCCGCGUGUGUGAAGAAGGCCUUCGGGUUGUAAAGCACUUUCAGCGAGGAAGAACGCCUAGUGGUUAAUACCCAUUAGGAAAGACAUCACUCGCAGAAGAAGCACCGGCUAACUCCGUGCCAGCAGCCGCGGUAAUACGGAGGGUGCAAGCGUUAAUCGGAAUUACUGGGCGUAAAGCGCGCGUAGGUGGCUUGAUAAGCCGGUUGUGAAAGCCCCGGGCUCAACCUGGGAACGGCAUCCGGAACUGUCAAGCUAGAGUGCAGGAGAGGAAGGUAGAAUUCCCGGUGUAGCGGUGAAAUGCGUAGAGAUCGGGAGGAAUACCAGUGGCGAAGGCGGCCUUCUGGACUGACACUGACACUGAGGUGCGAAAGCGUGGGUAGCAAACAGGAUUAGAUACCCUGGUAGUCCACGCCGUAAACGAUGUCGACCAGCCGUUGGGUGCCUAGCGCACUUUGUGGCGAAGUUAACGCGAUAAGUCGACCGCCUGGGGAGUACGGCCGCAAGGUUAAAACUCAAAUGAAUUGACGGGGGCCCGCACAAGCGGUGGAGCAUGUGGUUUAAUUCGAUGCAACGCGAAGAACCUUACCUACUCUUGACAUCCUGCGAACUUGUGAGAGAUCACUUGGUGCCUUCGGACGCAGAGACAGGUGCUGCAUGGCUGUCGUC
rnacentral:rRNA from 1 species